rnacentral:rRNA from 1 species
CCUACGCGUGGUUGCAGUGAGGAAUAUUGGUCAAUGGACGAGAGUCUGAACCAGCCAAGUAGCGUGAAGGAUGACUGCCCUAUGGGUUGUAAACUUCUUUUAUAUGGGAAUAAAACAGGGUAUGCAUACCCUCUUGUAUGUACCAUAUGAAUAAGGAUCGGCUAACUCCGUGCAAGCAGCCGCGGUAAUACGGAGGAUCCGAGCGUUAUCCGGAUUUAUUGGGUUCAAAGGGAGCGUAGGUGGAUUGUUAAGUCAGUUGUGAAAGUUUGCGGCUCAACCGUAAAAUUGCAGUUGAAACUGGCAGUCUUGAGUACAGUAGAGGUGGGCGGAAUUCGUGGUGUAGCGGUGAAAUGCUUAGAUAUCACGAAGAACGCCGAUUGCGAAGGCAGCUCACUGGACUGCAACUGACACUGAUGCUCGAAAGUGUGGGUAUCAAACAGGAUUAGAUACCCUUGUAGUC